GCGUAGGAAUCUACCUUUCAGUGGGGGAUAGCUCGGGGAAACUCGAAUUAAUACCGCAUAUACCCUUCGGGGGAAAGGGGGCCUCUCCUUGGAAGCUCUCGCUGUUAGAUGAGCCUGCGUGAGAUUAGCUUGUUGGUAAGGUAAUGGCUUACCAAGGCUACGAUCUCUAGCUGGUCUGAGAGGACGAUCAGCCACACUGGGACUGAGACACGGCCCAGACUCCUACGGGAGGCAGCAGUAGGGAAUAUUGGACAAUGGGGGAAACCCUGAUCCAGGCAUGCCGCGUGUGUGAAGAAGGCC
rnacentral:rRNA from 1 species